AACACCUAGUCGAUAUUAUUGCUACUGUGGAAAAGUAGAAGACCCACCUUUAGAUCCCUGGCUUGUUCCUCAUUCGUGUGGCCAAGUGUGUGAGAGAGAAUUUAAACCUUCCUGUGGUCAUAAAUGUCUACUACUCUGCCAUCCAGGUCCCUGCCCUCCUUGUCCAAAGAUGGUCACAACUACUUGCUACUGUAAGAAAGCAAAACCUAUCCCUCGUAGGUGCAGUGCCAAGCAGUGGUCCUGUCAGCUGCCAUGUGGGCGAAAGCUGCUUUGUGGGCAGCAUUCGUGUGAAAAUCCUUGCCAUGCAGGAAACUGUCAGCCUUGUCCAAGAGUUAGUAGACAAAAAUGUGUAUGUGGCAAAAAAGUAGCAGAAAGAAGUUGUGCGAGUCCAGUGUGGCACUGU
rnacentral:lncRNA from 1 species